rnacentral:rRNA from 1 species
GCAAGUCGAACGGGAUUUAAUUAGCUUGCUAAUUAAUGAGAGUGGCGCACGGGUGAGUAACGCGUAUGCAACCUACCUUAUACUGGGGGAUAGCCCAAAGAAAUUUGGAUUAAUACCGCAUAAAAUAUUUGAAUCGCAUGGUUUAGAUAUUAAAACUCCGGUGGUAUAAGAUGGGCAUGCGUAGCAUUAGUUAGUUGGUGAGGUAACGGCUCACCAAGACGAUGAUGCUUAGGGGGUCUGAGAGGAUAGUC